AUAUACAACUAGAUAUGGGUGCAACAUAAUUGGAAUGAUACGGAGAAGAUUAACAUGGUCCCUGCGUAAGGAUCGCACAAAUCAAGAAAUGGUCCUAAAUAGG
rnacentral:snRNA from 1 species